AGCAGUCGCCACGGUAAUACGUAGGUGGCAAGCGUUGUCCGGAAUUAUUGGGCGUAAAGCGCGCGCAGGCGGAUCAGUUAGUCUGUCUUAAAGGUUCGGGGCUUAACCCCGUGAGGGGAUGGAAACUGCUGAUCUAGAGUAUCGGAGAGGAAAGUGGAAUUCCUAGUGUAGCGGUGAAAUGCGUAGAUAUUAGGAAGAACACCAGUGGCGAAGGCGACUUUCUGGACGAAAACUGACGCUGAGGCGCGAAAGCCAGGGGAGCGAACGGGAUUAGAUACCCGCGUAGUCCCUGUCUCUUAUACC
rnacentral:rRNA from 1 species